UACAGAGGGUGCAAGCGUUGUUCGGAAUUAUUGGGCGUAAAGAGCGUGUAGGCGGCCAGGUAGGUCUGCUGUGAAAACUCGAGGCUUAACCUCGAGCUGUCGGCGGAAACCAUCUGGCUAGAGUCCGGAAGAGGAGAAUGGAAUUCCCGGUGUAGCGGUGAAAUGCGCAGAUAUCGGGAAGAACACCGUGGCGAAGGCGGUCUC
rnacentral:rRNA from 1 species